rnacentral:tRNA from 1 species
AAUUAAUUAGCUUAUAAAAAGCAUUUAUUUUGAAAAUAAAAAAAAGAAAAUUUUCUAUUAAUUU